rnacentral:misc_RNA from 1 species
AUAUUUAUCACAACCCUCCACCAACACCUCCUACUUUCUAUAUUUCAAUUCUCCAAAUUCAGAUCUUUCCUUCAAACCAAUCAUGUCUUUCUUUAAAAUAUAUGAUGUGGUGGAACAACCCCUCAAUCUGUCUCUUUAUCCAUUCAACCAACCAAAUCAACUAUAACCAACUACUACUAAUGCUACUAUCACCAAAUUCGACCUUUUGCCUUAUGUACACAAGCCAAGCCCAAACCUGAAGCAAAGAAUAUUGCUCACCUCAGAAGAGAUGCCGACAUGUCUCUUUCUCAACCCAAUUUGCCUUUUAUGUUUCACAUUAAGAAUAUGAUCUGAUCAAUCCCAAAUUGUACAGAUUCCUUCUCACUAAGCUCCCAAGUGAUAACAACACUGUCCCAGCAACUCCUACCCCUUGCUCUUCCCUUUCGGCCUCUUGAUGGUAUACAAGUGGUGGCAGUUCCUUCACUUUCAAUUUACUCAAUCCAAUUUUUUGCCGAACUGAGUCAAUUAUCUUAGGAUCUGCUGGGAUACCAAUUGCAUCUGUUACGUAGAAUACAUUUGCAGCCAUCUCUCUAGAGGUGGAAAUUUCGGCCCUUGUCACAUUGAGACCAUUCUCUCUAAAUGUUCUUGUCACAUCUGCUAAAAGACCCUGUCUAUCUGGGGUGCAUAAUUCUAGCGUUACACCCUCAGAUGCUCUUCUCUCAACUGCAGCUUGUAAGCACUGGAUAACCCUCUGCCUUUCAGGUUCUGAGCUAAUCGGGGUUCCAUCAGUGUGUUUAAUGUAGAAUUCCAGAUAUGCCCUAUCCCCAGCUGUGUUGAUUGUGCCAUGAAAUACAACAUAUUCCAUGUCUGUCAAGUUGCUAACAACAUCAAACAAAAGUUUCAUUCGAUCCUUGCAUUGAACAUUAACAACUGAAUAACCUCUCUCGAUCCAAUUUUGAACAGUAACCACAGGAGAAUCAGCACUAAGCCGCAAAAUAGG